AGUAGAAGGAUAACAUGACAUAGCAGGAAUAAUACUGCCUUUUCUUUCUGGCAUGGAUCAAGAGAAAAGAAAAUACAAGAAAACAGACAGAAGCAAGGCAAGGUACUUCUAUGGAAGGGUGAGCCCUCACAGAUGGAGCAAUGGGGCGCGCACACCUGAACAAGGGAGGGGAAGGAGUUCUUAUCCCUGAUGCAUGUGACCCCUGCUGCUGUGUCCUUCCCCUAUUGGCUAAGGUUAGACCACACAGCCUAAACUAAUUCCGAUUGGCUAAUUCAAAGAGAGCGACGGGGGUGAGUGCUUUGGCGGGAAAAAAAUGGUUACACAGGGUGGAGAAUAAUGAGACAGGGUGGAGCAGGUAGCAGGUAACCGGAAUGAGUUAUGGUGGAGCAGGUGAUCAGGUGAUCGGAAUGAGUCACGGUGGAGUAGGUAAUCGAAAAAGGUUGCUUUACGAGGAAGUAAAGUUUAAAAGUAGAAGGCAAAAAAUUGCACAUACUGACAUAUUAAUUCUUUGAAGAGAAAUUUAGAAUUCAUAUUUAACACUGCAACCUCCAUCUCCCGGGUGCAAGCGAUUCUGCUGCCUCAGCCUCCCGAGUAGCUGGGACUACAGGCGCCCUGCCACAAAGCCCAGCUAAUUUUUUGCAUUUUUAGUAGAGGCGGGGUUUCACCAUUUUAGCCAGGAUGGUCUCGAUCUCUCGUAGCAGGUUGUUAACGUUAAGUUAUUGUAAACCACGGAGAUACUCAAAUUUGUCAAUCAUGUUUCUGACUGUAACUAUUUUAGACAUUUUGUUAUCCACAGAAAAUUGUUGUCUUAUUUUUAUCCUCUUUAAAAGAUGAUUUAUAAUCAGCUAUAUAAUUUUGACACGUGCUCUCAAACGCAGGCUUCUGACAGCUUUGGAGAUUGUGACAUUGGAAUAAAGGAAAAACGUACAGGACUCAUGAAGCGCUGAAAUGUUCACAAAUAUCAAGCAAAAGUCAAUGAAAUUUAUUUUGAGCUAUUUACAUCAUUUAAUAAUUGAGCAAGGUAUACUCCUAUGAACAAAAUUUGGAGCAUGUUUGUCUCUCUCUGUCUGCCUGGCAUCUACAGAAUUUGGAAACUAGUUGUGCUGUACUGCAUGAGAAUGCCUGCAUUUAGUAUGCGAACUGGAAUUGGCAAAGGACGAUGGCUGCUCUCCCGCUAACUUUAAAUAAGUCAUGUCACAAAUUGCAUUCGUUCCCAGAUUUCCUAAACUUUCCAGAGAAAAUGGUCUUCUCCCUGGCUCAGCAAGAAGAUGAACUUUAAACACUGAGAAACUGGUCAUCUCCCUGGCUCAACCAGAAGAUGAACUUUAAACACUACUCUCAAUGACUUGAUGUUCCCAUCACUACUCCUGUCAUAAAGGGAGGGGACUCAGAUAUUGAGAAUUUUAUGAUAGUGUGAACUGUCUGGUAUGUCAUUUAAGUAAGCCCGUUGCUGAAAUAUUUUCCAUGUUAUUAGAAAGAGCUGAAGAGAGGGAUUGAGAUGGCUUCUUUAUUUUUUGUCUUUUGGGAAUUAAAGGAACCUGGUUCAACAAGGGCCUACACCUAAGUCUCUUGUUGUACCAGAGUACAAUUUAGGACUGCUCCUGAGGAAGGAAUUAGCUAGAAAUCUAGAGAGUAAGGGUAACAGAUUUACAUAGAAUAACAGCCUCAGUAUUUUUGGUUCCUCUCCAGUAAAGAUCACAAAGAAUAUUGCUAAAUCGCUAAAACACCUUUGCAAUAACGUAAGGGCUUACAACUAUAUACCAAUGUAGCUCAGUUACUAAACUGGAGUAAACUAAUUUCUCUUGUGUAGAAAAAUUGGUUGGCUGUGGUUUUAUAGCAGAUCUGCAAUUAUUAAUAGUUAUGCCAAUAAUCGUUUAACAGUGCAUAUGUUAAUAUAUAUGGAAAGACAAUGUGUAUAGACAGAUGUGUAAAAUUGAAAAAUAAACAUAUAACAAGAGAGAAACAUCUAUCGAACAGACAAUAUACAUACACAUCAAACACAACAGCAGUUUUAGUGACCAUAAUAUUUAUUUCUCAUUUUUACAUUGCUUACUUUAGUGACAACUGAAAAUGACAGUUGGCAAUGCAGCUAACAGUUUCAAUAAAAGUAUAAAACAAAAGACUGUGUACAAAGCACCUGUCUUUCCGCUUUUGUAAUCUUCCGUUGGAAAAAAUUUACACACCUAAGUAACCAUCUGUUUUCUUCAAGAAAAAAUCAUUCUUAUUUCUCUCUCUCAUCUUGAAAACAGCUGUCAGCCAGGAGGGCAGAGCUGAAAUUUAUUGCCACAUCACAUGAAGCAUAGAACAGACUCCACUACUCCUUGAGAUUCAAAACUUUGCCUCUCACAAAGUUACCUUUUAUUUUCCUCUUGUUUGUCACUCAUCUC
rnacentral:lncRNA from 1 species